rnacentral:rRNA from 1 species
AGAGUUUGUUCUNGGCUCAAGAUGAACGCUGGCGGCAGGCUUAACACAUGCAAGUCGAGCGGAAACGAUGGGAGCUUGCUCCCAGGCGUCGAGCGGCGGACGGGUGAGUAACGCGUAGGAAUCUACCCAGUAGUGGGGGAUAGCCCGGGGAAACUCGGAUUAAUACCGCAUACGCCCUACGGGGGAAAGGCCGGGAUCUUCGGACCGGUCGCUAUUGGAUGAGCCUGCGUUGGAUUAGCUAGUUGGUAGGGUAAAGGCCUACCAAGGCGACGAUCCAUAGCUGGUCUGAGAGGAUGAUCAGCCACACUGGAACUGAGACACGGUCCAGACUCCUACGGGAGGCAGCAGUGGGGAAUAUUGGACAAUGGGCGCAAGCCUGAUCCAGCCAUGCCGCGUGUGUGAAGAAGGCUCUAGGGUUGUAAAGCACUUUCAGUAGGGAGGAAGGCCAGAGUGUUAAUAGCGCUUUGGAUUGACGUUACCUACAGAAGCAGCACCGGCUAACUCCGUGCCAGCAGCCGCGGUAAUACGGAGGGUGCAAGCGCUAAUCGGAAUUACUGGGCGUAAAGCGCGCGUAGCCGGUUUGUUAAGUGUGAUGUGAAAGCCCAGGGCUCAACCUUGGAACUGCAUCACAUACUGGCAAGCUAGAGUACGGUAGAGGGGGGUAGAAUUC